rnacentral:sRNA from 1 species
GUUCUUCCGGUGGCGGAGCGGCGGAUUAGCCUGCGCGGGGCAAAAUGGAGCUCGAGGCUAUGAGCAGAUAUACCAGCCCAGUGAACCCAGCUGUCUUCCCCCAUCUGACUGUGGUGCUUUUGGCCAUCGGCAUGUUCUUCACCGCCUGGUUCUUCGUGUAUCCUUUCACUGAGCAGCCAGAGGACCAGCAUUAGUGAUGUGGGAAGCUCAGGGAGAAACCACGCUAGGUACAUGGACCCCGCCGGUUUUGUACAUUGGAUUGGGGCUGAGAGAAGGUAAGGAGGAGAGGAGGGCUGGUGAUGCCCAGGGGCAGGUUAUGGCCUUAUUUCCCAAGUUCAGGUGAGCUCAGUUUGUUCUUUGGAUUUCCAAGACGGUGAGCAGGGGGCCUGGCUGGAGUGGAGGUGGGGAAUAGGGGUGCUACAGUUGGAAAGGUGGUGUAAGGAAGGGUGCACUCAGGUGUCAGGAGGUCUGAGGGCUAGUCCCAGCUCUGGCCCUCAUAAGCUGUGUGACCUGGGGCAAGUGACCUAACUCCUCUGGGUCUCAUUUUCUUCAU